rnacentral:piRNA from 1 species
UAAUCAAAAGUCAUUUUGCAU